rnacentral:tRNA from 1 species
GGGAUUGUGGCUUAGUGGUAGAGCACGUGCUUGCCAGGCAUGUAUGAGGCACUGGAUACAAUCCUC